UACGAAGGGGGCUAGCGUUGCUCGGAAUCACUGGGCGUAAAGCGCACGUAGGCGGCUUUUUAAGUCAGGGGUGAAAUCCUGGAGCUCAACUCCAGAACUGCCUUUGAUACUGAGAAGCUUGAGUCCGGGAGAGGUGAGUGGAACUGCGAGUGUAGAGGUGAAAUUCGUAGAUAUUCGCAAGAACACCAGUGGCGAAGGCGGCUCACCUGGCCCGGUACUGACGCUGAGGUGCGAAAGCGUGGGGAGCAAACAGG
rnacentral:rRNA from 1 species